rnacentral:tRNA from 1 species
GGCUCCGUAGUUCAGUUGGUCAGAACGCCUGCCUGUCACGCAGGAGGUCGACGGUUCGAGCCCGUUCGGAGUCGCCA